UUCAGGCUGAGAGCUUCUUGUCACCAACACAGUGAGCACAGUCACCAGCUGAUGCCAGGCUGCCCUGGGGACCAGCACAGUGACAGCAACAGCGGGGUAUGGCCAGGCCACCUGCACCACCCUAAUUCUUACCCCUGGGCUCUUACUCAGGCUGCCUCGGGACAAGGGCUGUGAACUGCUCACUCAAGUACUGGCUACAGGAUUCACCCCAGGUUUGUAGAUGGACCAAAGCUGUUUAGAGAAGCACAAGGAACUGUGAUGGGACGGAUCUUCAUAAAAUUAAAGUUGCUGCACUCAAAGUAGAUGCAUCGCAUUUUGAUGUCGUUUGGCUCUUUUCAAGGUGUGAAAUUGGUAAGCACCAACACCAAAGGAAAGAAGUUCUUUUAAUACUGCGCUGUGCCACUUGAAGCAGCAUUACCCUCUGGCUCAAAGCCAGCAAACUCCAGUGAGAACUAUUUUAUAGCAGAUGACUAUAAUAAAAGAUAUUUAAACAUGGCCUAACAAUGGAUUAAACUAGUAAGACAUAGUUUGUGUUAGAUCCCAAGGAUGAAUAUCAAAAAUAGAGGCAAUAUUUUAGAAACAACAGCCAGCAGUGAAAAGUUUAUUUCUAAUAUAAACCAGACAGUCCCCAAAAUAAUUUGUGGUUUAUUUAAUUCUUACCGUUCAUCUUGUGUUCUUUUGAGUAAGCUAAAGUAAGGCACCCGCCUCAAAACAGCAGCUGGUUUAGAUUUUGAUUCUGGAUCUCCAGUGAGCUGAAAAACUGUAAUCUACAUCUGCAGGGGUGGGGAGUCAUUUCUGUAAACAGAGAAAUAAGGAUUCGUUGUGGGGGGAGGGCGGCUUAUCCAAAGGUGCAUUAGGGAGAAGAGAGAGAGAAGAAAAACCAACCUCGCUAAUGUAUUAUAAUAAAUUACUGUUUUGUCAUUAUCUGGUUAUAUUUGCACAAACAUCAAUUGCAUGUGAGCCCUGAAAAAGAAUGUCUCAUUGCCUUUAAUAUGCACUGCAGUGUGCACCCAUACAAAAUCAUUACUGUAACAAAACCAGCUGCGUGUAAUAGAAAGCAAAUGAUUUACAAUGUUACUAUAAGAAACUACUUUAUUUCACAUUAUCAUAAAAAGAACAGCACUGAAAAUUUGCAUGACAAACACAAGAAUCCAGGAAAUUCCAAAUCUAAUUCAUUUUUAGGUUUUAAUAGGUAUUAACUUACUAAGGUGAAUCGCUAAGAACAUUUCUUGAAGAAUAUUCCCAGAGAGUUUAGCUGCAAUAUUGGUAAUUACAUUUACUGAAAUACAAGGUAGUCCAGUAGAAGAAGAAAACACAGAAGCUUUAAAUACAUAGGUCGCUCCAAAAUUAAUGCAUUCAAUUUCUUUCCAUGGAAUCUACAACAUAUACAAAGAGCAUGAUAGUGCUCUUUGGUGGAGCAAACUCUCAGCUACAAAACACUGUCACCACCGUUAGCUAUGCAUUGCUGAAGAUGAACAAGAGCCUGCAUGCUGUGCUUGUAAAAAUCUGUACCAGCAGAAGUGACCUACUGUCUCUGUCACCACUGAUGAAAUGCAGCAUUGAGCUGACAUCCGCUGUUUGGUCUCUAUUAACGUUCAGCAAGCAUGAAUGAAUGUCAAUGGGAGGAAUUCAAUGACACACCUUUGCUUCGCGUGCACUUCCAUGUCAGCCCCUCUGAUGCCAUCUGUCAGACAUCAACAAAAUGUAACAGGGUGUUGGUGGAAGGGUCCUAUCUAUACUGCUGUACCAUCAACAUCCAUCUCUGACAUCACAAGCUGACAUGAUAAAAUAGGAGGCGCUACUUUCAGAGCAGUCCUUAUGGUUUGCAUUCCCUGCAGGUCCUAGAGAAGCAUGUUUCUUUUUACCACAACACCUUGGCUGAAGGUUCGGUGCUAUCAUGGAUAUUUCUGAAGCCAUUGGGAUGUCAGACCCUGAGACAAAACCUGCUGGAUUAGUGACCAAUAGUCUUCAAACCUCAGUAGAUAUCAACCUGCAUGGUUACAUUUUUCAGCUGUUAUGAAAUUGAAACAAAUAAAUAUAAGCAGUUUCAAACCUAUACUCUACCCAGUUGUAUGAAGUAGCUGGGUUACUCGAGGGAUUUACUAGAUUACGGUGGAUACCCCAUGAGCAAGGACACAAACUCUAUCUCAUACGAUUCAUGAAACAAGUUUCUGUUGCAUCAUGGCAGAUAUGCUUAUUUUGUGUAGGUAUUGAAGGAGAUAACAGUUGUUGCAAAAGAGGCAGAGGGGAUGUAAAACAAAAGCUAGUCUUGAACAAACGGGGCUUUAUAAGACUUAGGCAAAACUCAAACAAAUGUUCAAUGAAAGUCACUUUUAUGGCUUUACUUUGGUUUAUCGCAAGGCAGUAAUAAAUGUGUCUCAUUAAAAGCCAGUAAAAGAACACCACCUACACCACCAAUUGCUGUAACUGCAGAUAUAGCAGAUCUGGAAUAGUUACCUAAAGACCCUAAUUUCCUAGCAUUUAAUGCUUCCCUGUCCAUAUAAACUAGCCUUCUAUGGAUUUAAAGACUGUUGGAAGCUAAAAGCAGCAGCUGUUGCUGGGAAAACGACACUUUCAAAGCUCUGUUUCUUUCUCAAGGUGAAUUUGGAGGAAGGUUGAGUGAACAUGUAGCUCUUGUUGGUUAAAAAAAUGCCAGAGGAGAAUGUGCCAACAGAAAGAGAAGCAAUUCCCCCAGACUGCCUAGAGAACGAGCAUCUUGCCUCCACUUUAUUGCUCAGCGGGUCAAAUUCAUUCCUGGUGAAAUGGCAGUUCCCAUGGUGAAGUUGCAGGAAAACUCUGAAUCCUUCUGGCACCUGUCAAGAAAUAGGGAUGUGAAAGCAGGGGGAGGAACUGGCAUGUAGAAGCUGGGAUUAAGGGUGGGAGCCACCACAUAAAAGGUUAUUCUUGUUCUGGUUGUUAGAACUUUUUUUAUUGCGUAGAAUUUACAUACAUGCUUAUUAAGUGGUUUAAAAAAGAAGCCUGACAGAUAUUAAACAGCAUGCCACACUCUUUAUGCUGCUGCCAUACAGAUGUGUCCAAAGCAUAAACAGACUUACAUUCAGCACUUGAUUGCUCUAUGGGAGAGGAUCUCUCUAGUAAACGUCUCCAAACUUUUCAGGACAAUUAGCUUGAGAAUUGGAAACGUCUUUUUUUCCUAAUUUGAUCCUUUUCUUGAUCUCUUGCUGCUUUCCAAUUAUAAAGAGAAAAUAUAUAGCAAGUGUUUUAAUACCCUAGAUUGAAUUUCCUAAACCUAAGCUAGCUGUAGAAUUACUGGGCCGGGGAUUCUGGCACAAGACAUACAGCUGUGUGUGAGCUGGUGGGAAAACUACUGGCGUAUCAUGACUAGUUUUGGUGUUCACACUUCAAAGAAGGCAUGGAAAACUGAAAAUAGAUCAGAAAAGAAUGAUUUCAAGAUAUGUAAUGUCAGCCUCGUAGGGAUCGAUGUAUGCAAGCCUACUAGGUUUACUUUAUCAAAAGAAAGGUUAUGAGACUUGAUAAUUAUAUAUUAAUACCUACACGUGGAGAAUAUUUGUAAUGGCUCUGAAAGUUAGCACGUAGAAACACAUUGGGACCUAGAAGCUGAACAUGGACAAAAUUCUGACUAUGCAUAAAAAAAACAGGAUUAACAGUAAAGUUAACGAGUUAUGAUGAACAUUUCUGCAAAAAGAUUGUGGAUUCUUCACCCCAGCAGCUUUUUGGUCUUUGCUGUAAGGAGAAACAUUGUGCUUGACCCAUGAACUGCAGUGUGGGUGCAGGAUUUCGAGGUGAUACAUUCUGAUAGUUAAUCACAAAGAUCUCCAUGGCCAAACACAGGAAUGGGGCAGUCCAGUCUUGCUCAGUUGAAUUAGCUGGCAAAACUGAAGCUGGUAUAUGAAGUACAUUAAAAUCCACAUCCCAAAAGGCCUCUCAAAUCUGGCACAUCUGAGAAGCUCUGUCACUUGCACUGAUGCCUUUUAUGCCUGGAUUUAUGAGUGCCUGCCCUCAGAAGGGAAUGGAUCCUGUAGGCAUCCUUAGUUCUCAGGUCCAAUCCCAAAACUGGCAGACUGUCCAACAGGAUUCUUACUUACUUGAAGUUUAUCACCCUACCCUUUAUUUUCAGAUUUCACCAUGUUUAAGUUGUGAAAAUCCUUCCUUAAUGAUCCAUCCAGCUUGCAGUAAGGAAAUGGAAAUUGCUCUGUUCUGUUCUCUUCAUACUUCACCCAAAUCACGCUCUAAAAUCCAGAGAUUCUUUUUGAAGGUAUUUUGAAGUUUGUAUAAUAGUCAGACACCUGGUAAAAGCCCUUUAAUGCAUGAACUUGUGUUAUCUAAAUAUUUUUGUGACCAUCAUCCAUUUUCUCAGCUUAUACUUCUGUGAAAAUAUUAAAAUAUAGCCAGGCAAUCUCUUAUAUCCAAUCUCUUUUGUGUUACGCCCAAUCCAACUACUCUAAUCCUUCUUCCACCUUCCUAUCCCCUGCCUUUUUUUUUCCCUCUCAAAUCUGUUACCACUGGAUAGAACCCUCUGGCAAAUAUCCUUUUGGGAAUGCAUACUGGGUACUGAAAUGCUGAUCUGAAUUUCUGUGGUUUAAGCAAUUUUCAGGGAUGAACCUGUAAAGUUGUGUCUUGGCCAGGAUGAUAUUUAAACCAGCACUUACAACUGCCUCUGAGUUUUGUUGAGUAAAGGCUAUUUUCACAUUGACAUUAGGCUCGUGCAUCUUCUUUGAGUCAGCAAUCUCUUUGCAUUAUCAUGCAAUUCAACCACAACUUUGGUGCAGUUAAUAACACCUCAUCUACAGAUUUCUGUGACCUCUUGAUAUUGUCCCCAGGGAUGGAAGGUAGUGGUAGGAAACUUUGCAGACAAUCUUGAGAUAAAUGAAGCUGGCACAUCCAGUUGUCAGAAUGGUGUAUUUAAUUAUACAGCCUUUUCUACCAGAGAAAAUGAAGGUGAACAUGCUGUCACAGUGAUGUGGGGGAGAGAAAAAAUGAGACUGAGCAGCAGCAGAGAAACAAAGGAGAAGCUAAAGGAAAACAAAAUAUGGAGAUGAUUUAAAAUCACUUAUGAGACCUGUGCCUGCUAAUGCAUUUUUUUCAAAUGAUCACGACUUACAUAAAAUGCAUCUGAACAUCUUCUUCUCAUUAGAAAUACUGAGUUGAGAAAGAUAUAACCAGUAUCCCAGUGUGUUCCUCUUACAUGGGCUUUGAACCAGACUUAGAAAGUUGCAUCCAGCACUGGUAUGCCUUAACAUCACAUGUUACUGGAUGAUGAGACAUCUGUGUUCUUAUAUGGACAAUCAUAUACUCCAACAUUAGUGAGAGUGUUUUUAGAGAACAGUUGCUGAUGUGUUCGCAUGGUUCCUGUUUUUCUACUGAGACUGGUACACUCUGUCUUUUAUUUCAUACUUUGCUAGCAGAUGGUGUUGCAAAAAAUAUACUAUUUUCAUUCACUGUAUUUUCAUAGACAAUGCUGUCAAACAUCAAUCAAAAAAAGGGAGCACCGCUGGCUUUAGCCCAUGAAGUGAAAAGCAUAAGAUAACGGGCAAAGUAGGAAAACACAUGACUUGUUCAUUAGAUUCAUUCAAAGAGGUGAGUGAAGAAUCUCAGAGUGUGGCCUCUGCAUUCUGGCAAUGUUAAAGUGGAAAGCUUUCAUGGAAGUUCCUCUAUUAGAAGCAAAGAAAGAAACAUGGUGGUCAAAUGUAUAUACCCAACAGGAGACCGUAACAUUAGGUGACUGUCUUCAUUUUUAUUUACUCAGAUUCCAGAAAGAAUGAAAUCUCUAAAUCUCAUUGCAAAGCUUUGCUUUCGGACACAGCUUAUUUCUAAAGGCACAGUGAAUGAAACUGACAGAACAGACUCGGUGCACUUCUAGUGCAGGGGAAAGGGCUUCAGGGCUGUACAUACUAACCAGGGGCUAAGUUCUGCUCUCAGUCACACUGGAGAAAACUCAAAGUAAUUAUCCUACUGACUUCAGUAAUAAUUUACAUUACUGUAAAUGACAGCAAAAAUUGGACCCAAUAUAGAAAUAAUUUAUACAAGGCCCUAAGUAUAGUUGCACAAUUCAAUCUGUAAAUAAUGCCACUAAUGCACAUAUGGCUAAUUUACAUCCAGACUAUGAGAACAUAUCCAGUGCUGACUUCCAGGAUGCUUGAAGCACUAGGCAGUGCCAAAACAAAUGUGCAGUAUUCCCAUAGCCCUCACAAUCCUUCCAACUUUUGGUGUUGGGAAGAUUCACUACGGAUAUUUUGGAAAAGUGAAGUUUUGUCUGUUCUAUGACUAAGUUUUCAACGAUUCUUGCAAAAAAGUAAAUAAAAAGGGCAUAGAAGGCUGUCAAGAUGCACUCCAUGUCUAUUUGCAUGAGCUCUGUACACUCGCUCAUCUCAAUGAGUUGUUUUCAUCUAAUUUGUCUCUUACUGGGAGCAGAGCUUUAGAAGCAGCUUGAGUUUUCUAAGAAUAAACCAUGCUUCAAUGAAAGGAGGAUUGUAAGCAACACUGGAGAAGAGCGCUUGGAGUACGUUGAUUUAAAGCACAUAAAACUUUACUACAGCAAUUUAAUUUAGAUUCCUUCUAUAAUCAUAUAUUUAUAUUAAGAACUGUCUGGAGCCAAACUGAAAUUUACUUUGCUAGAAGGCAAAGAUGAUAUAAAAUCUGAAUUAUUCAUCAACACAGCAAGAAGAAAAAUUCUCCCUAUAUACCCAAUAUUGUUCUGAGCUCUACACCAGCUUUGCAACAUGGGGUGAAGAGUUAGACAAUCCGUGUCUUGAUUUACCAAGACUUGAGAAGAACAUGUAUUGAACUUAAGCCUAACAAAUAAAUAAAUUCUCCUUUCUUUCCUCCUAAAAGAUCUUUCACUAUUGUAUUUAUUUUUUUUCUCCUUUAUUAUCAGAGAAUAAGCAUUCUCCUGUUACCAACACAUAGGAGGUGUUGAGACCCCACAGUUAACUGCAGAUUAAUCACGGCUGACUUGGAGCUGCAGGUGGAUUUCAUUAGAUCCUUCAACAACAGAAGAGAGAUGGGAUAGGCCUCUGGAAGGAGAAAAUCUCAGGGAAGAAAUUUUGGGGGCCUGGGAAAAAAGUCUUGGGAAUGAGUUUAAGUGUGUUUUAGUUAAGGUGAUCCAACUUCAAGAAGAAGGAGGUCUCCUCACCCUUUUCAAGCAGCUUUUCUUUAAAGUAGGUAGAUACUUCACCAGCUUGCUGAAACUGCUAACUUAGCAGACAAGGAAAUGAUGGAACUAUAACAGUUUAAUGUAUCUGCAAAUAAGCUCCUUUUACCUGGUCUCAGGUGGCAGCCUUCUAACAUUGAACAUUUAUGUCUUGUAAAC